rnacentral:rRNA from 1 species
GACGAACGCUGGCGGCGUGCCUAAUACAUGCAAGUUGAGCGCUGAAGGUUGGUACUUGUACCAACUGGAUGAGCAGCGAACGGGUGAGUAACGCGUGGGGAAUCUGCCUUUGAGCGGGGGACAACAUUUGGAAACGAAUGCUAAUACCGCAUAAAAACUUUAAACACAAGUUUUAAGUUUGAAAGAUGCAAUUGCAUCACUCAAAGAUGAUCCCGCGUUGUAUUAGCUAGUUGGUGAGGUAAAGGCUCACCAAGGCGAUGAUACAUAGCCGACCUGAGAGGGUGGUCGGCCCACAUGGGAAUGAGAACACGCCCCAACUCCUACGGGAGGGAGCAGUAAGGGAACUUCGGCAAAGGACGGAAGGCUGAACGGGGCAAGCCGCGUGAGUGAAGAAGGGUUUCGGAUCGUAAAACUCUGGUGGUAGAGAAGAAAGUUGGUGGGAGUGGAAAGCUCAUCAAGUGACGGUAACUAACCAGAAAGGGACGGCUAACUACGUG